rnacentral:lncRNA from 1 species
CAUGAUUUAUAAGCAUGAUGCUAAUAAGUAAAAAGCAUGUAAUCAACAUGUAAUAGCUUUCUACAGUAAUGAACCAUUUGCAUAAAAGAGAUAUAGCAACUUCUGUAAUCAUGAACAUAGACAUGAGUAUAAGCACGAAUAUAAAAGUGACUACUGUACACUUUAAGUAAUAAACAUUCAUUACUGUCCUUUUUCAUUUAGUACUUUCCUUUCAUUCACAGGGACCUACCCAAGGUAGUCCAGCUUGCGCCGCGCCUAAUGGCCCCGUAGUAGUAUACACUCCCUACGGCAAUCCACUUCGGCACCCAAUCCCGCACGGGCGAGCAACUGUCGCGUAGGCCAACUCCGGAGUGCCGGCUUGUAGGGAGCGACCCUCACAAGCGUGUGCGAAUGAGCACAAUGGCAAGCAAGCAUAUUUCACUGUCCACAUGUCACAAUUUUCAUAUUUUCAUUGCAAAGUUCUUACCCUCUAUCCUCUGAUCGGAAUUUCAAUACACAAAUAGUAACAAGAGCUAGUAUCUACUAGAUUGUAACAUGUAAGGGUAAAGCUAAAUCACAUGGCAUAAUAAUCUCUCCACAAGUAUGGCACUAUCAACAUAGUCA